CGGGCCUUGUACACACCGCCCGUCACACCACGAAAGUCCAUUGGACCAGAAGCUGUUGUUCUUUCAACAUCCAAGGUCUGAUUGAUGAUUGGGGUG
rnacentral:rRNA from 1 species